rnacentral:rRNA from 1 species
CUAGAAAUAGUGGGGUUUCCUCGGGAACGGCAAUCGAGGUGCUGCAUGGCUGUCGUCAGCUCGUGUCGUGAGAUGUUGGGUUAAGUCCCGCAACGAGCGCAACCCUUGUCCUGUGUUGCUAAUCUUCGGAUGCACUCUCAGGAGACCGCCAGCGACAAGCUGGAGGAAGGUGGGGAUGACGUCAAGUCAGCAUGGCCUUUAUGUCCAGGGCUACACACGUGCUACAAUGGGCAGGACAAACCGUUGCAAACCCGCGAGGGGAGCUAAUCGGAGAAACCUGUUCUCAGUUCGGAUUGCAGGCUGCAACUCGCCUGCAUGAAGCUGGAAUCGCUAGUAAUGGUAGAUCAGCAUGCUACCGUGAAUACGUUCCCGGGCCUU